GUGCAGCAACCUUUAAGUCUCAGCACUGCGUCCCCGGGCAACCAUAAGCCAGCAGUGGUAGCUUUUUCCUCCCUGGUUUCCAGCUCAAGUUGAGCAGAUUGGCUCGUUCAAUGUGUCUCUACUGCCUUUCGACGCAGUCGAACUUACAAAACGGAAUAGCAACGAUGCAUGGAGUUGCUGUUUUGCUGGGGUGUCUAUAGGAUUUUGUCACUGUGGAGGACUUGUCAGACAUGGCACGAAUUUGCCCGCCAUUUCUCCUCUUUGGAGGAGAGACCUUUACCUCUGAAGAGACGUCCAUACUUGAAGGCUGCAUGGGCUCUAAUACAUAGAGGUUCAGGAUUGCCUCACUAAAGGCCACCAAAGCAAUAAAUGGGGCUUGCGAGUACUAAGGUCAGAAGGCGGACAGGAACGGGCAGAUACCUCUGUGUGGAGGGUCACCAAGAGUUAGUCAUGCCCUCAGAGUCGUCGGCUGAUUCAUCCCAUAACAACGAGGGACACCAUCCUGAUCACUGAUAUGAGUAGUGAACCAACGGGCCGUCCUUUGCUUUGCAGGAGUAGGGACCCUAGUGCUGAAGGCUGGGUGGAUGGAGGCGAACUAUGGAAUGUAAGGUGCCAGGCCGGGGAACAAGAGUUAAGAGUACUGAGAGACAGUGUGAGCGUGCGCAGGGGGUGGGAGUGGGGUCUCCUUUCCCCAAACUAACCCUUGUUUUAAGAGUCAGCUUCCCUUUCAGUGGGAUCUUGCAGGUCCUGGGUAGUGACUCCCUCCCCGGCGCUCCCCAAACAAUCCUCUUUCAAAUGUAAGGUGUACACAUUGUUACGGCUUCCUGGACUCUUAGAUCUAAGGUCAGGCUUGCCUGUCUGCUGGCCGACUUACAUUUUCUAUCCUUCUGGACCGUGCACUCAGGGUUUAUGGGUCAGCACGUUUUGUGGCCCUGCAGUUUAUGAGAGUUUAAGGAGUGAGGCGAGGACGACAAAAUGCUAUUUCCUACCCACUCCUGGCCAUAGACAAAGCAGGUAAACAUCCGGAGGGUUCCCGCAAUCGGAGUCUUUAAAAGUCCAGUUCCAUUUUUUUCUGCUCUGCUGAAGAAAGGCCGGGGCGCAGUCGCUUCCAUCCAUUUGGCUCUAGACCUCCCCGUGUCUAGCUGAAGAGCCAGGGGCUUAGAAGUCUUUCUCCCUAGAUAAAAACUAGUUGAAAAUAAACCACACAAACACAAAAAGGUUAAAUCAAACAACUACGCAGUCUGAAUGCCGAAAUGAAAUGCUAGGACUUGGACCUUGAGGUGGGAUUUGGGUUCUCUAGUAUUCACUACUCUUGGCCACAAUGUACUUCCGUGGGGUCACCUCUCGCCUGCAGAUUCCCGGGGUGGGAGAUCAAGUAGCCCACAGCCAAUUCGUCUAGUUUGUGCUCCUCGCUUUUGUGUUUCGGAGAGCAGCAGGCUGCCCAUGCGCCUGGUUCAUUCCCGCGGGCCUAGGCAUUGUUUGGGGAGCCCACGUCCGCCUCGCUCGCCACCAGGGGGCGCCCGAAGUCUUACAGGAGUCUCCGGCAACACUGGGCUCGAGGUCUAGCUAGCUCCUGCCCGCCUGCUUGUCCGUCCGGCCGGCGGAAACCCAGGGAGCUUGUCUCAGACCCUUCCAACACAAGUACCGCUCGUCCUGGACUGAAGCUACAUCUUUCUCUCCAUUACGAGUCGUGCACCCUCCUUUCGCCCAUCAUCAGCCAAGUGCAUGCUUAUGUGACAGGCGUGCCUGAGCAGCAAGCCCGCUGCUGGGGAGCAGUGUAGUAGCCUCCCUCAGAGGGUGGACCACUGUCUCUGUGUGAAGCACAGCCCAGGGACACUCUGUGACCAUCCCUACGGUUCCUAUAGCCCAGAGGACAGAUCUCCGGGAGAAGCAAGCACUUUGAGUGCCUGGGUUAGCCUAGGCUCUUCUGCGCUUCAGGUAGGCUCCCGGGUUCACAGGUUUCCUUCCCUCUUUGCUAUUUAUUCAAAGUAGCAGGCCUUUGGCGAUGAGAGUCCUAGUUGAGCCUCUUCCCUACUCCCUGUGAAGGGAAGAUCCUAGUUAGUAAACGGUGAGAUUUACAGUGCCAGGCCCAGCAUUCUGUUUAGAGGACGCUGCUUAGGGUGCCAGGUCCUUUGCAAUAGAUAAGUCCCCUCCCGCCAUUCCUACCCCCAGGACAGUGCACAGGGGACAACCUCUACUCAAAUGCUGCAGGCCCGAAGAAGAGCCUCGGCAACUCCUGCCUUUGGUCCUGUUUUUACAUUUGGUGCUUUCUGUAUUUAAGGCAUUGAAGAAUCUUGAGGGACUAACAAAGCUUCCCUAGGCCCUCUGCUGCUUGGUUAACCCUUUGCUGGCUGCUAGGUUUCUGGAGAGGCAAGACUUUCACUCUCAAGUUAAGAUGCUUAGAGGAUCUCCAAGCUCUGGAACUUGUCAACCCCAGUUCUGCCCAGCAUCCGAGAGAGGGUGGCAGGGCAGCCUGGGUGCCAGGAGAGCAAGCUUCCUUCCGCACUCUGGAAUGGUGUCCCGAAAGCACACAGAAGCCCAGAAAAGGACAAAAAGCAAGAAAGCCUAGAAGCGCACCGGGUAUGUGUGGUUUCUUAAGUUCUACUGCUCAGGGGGCAAAUUUAAAUGGAAGUCUCUCACACCCUUCCCCUCAGUGUCCAUAUCACUGUCCUGUACUUCCUUUAGAGAGAAAAAUGUGCGUGUCCACUUCCCUUGUUAACAUGCAGGGCUGGGGACGAGGGGAAGGGGCAUGUAGGCUCUACAGCUGCUUUGGAGUCAAAUCUGGAGCAGCACCUAGUAGGGCAAACCCCCGAGGAACCACCUGACCAAUGUCAUCUUGUUCUUAGAAAUCCUCACUGCUACCCAGCAAGUGGCAGUGAUCAUUAUCCUUAAUCCCCCCCCCCCCAUUUAUUUACGAGGGUUGGUGGGCCACAACAUUCCUGUGGAGAUCAGAGGACAACUUUUGGGAGUUGGUUCUCUCUUGGCACCGGUGGACUCCCAAGAUAAAACUCAGAUGGUCAGGUUUGGUAGCGAGCAAACUCGCCCGCUGAACCGUUUUGCUGGUCCCUUGAUGGUUACCCUUAUUUUUCACAAUCAUAAGGAAACUGAGGCACAAAGGAACUGAUCCAUGUCACACAGUAAGUGAUAUAGCCGUCUGCUUUCGGGUCCUGUCCUUUUGGUUGUCUUCAGAAGUGUUAUUACUUGGCUUUUAUCCACAGACUUCCCUGGGCGAGGGCUGUCUUUUUCCAGUGUACCGAGGCCUGGUAAAGCUGCAGGGGGCCAGGAUGAGUUCUUUUUUCAGCCAUCUGGGGGCGCCAUUUCCCAAACCAGAGGUUGUCUCUGGUACAAGGAGAGUUGCUUCCCUCUUCCCUCCCACCGGUGGAAACUUUUGAGUGUUUUUUGUUUUUUGUUUUUUACCGGUUCUUACCGGUUGCUCAAGAGGAUGGCCUUUGGUGCACAUAGGAGCAACGACUUCAUUUCUUAGACUGUUCUUCAUCUAGCGGGUUCCCACACCAGAGGAAGCUACCUUCCUUCGCAGGCAAGUGCUCAAGCCUGGAGGCACUUCUCACCUGAGGAAUUUCUAGAACUUGGAGCACCAGGCCCAUGACCUGGUGCUUUGUGUUUCCAUUUUAAGAAUUGGCUAGAGUGAGGGCAAAGACUAUGCUAACAACUGGACGGAGCUCUCGCUCCUCAUUUAAGAUGUCAAGGGUCUCUGCGCCAACCUGGGAAAACCAGCCAAGGGAUCAGACCGGGAAAGCUUGCUGCCUGGCAGAGGUCUACUAGGGCAGGGAUUAGACUCAGCAUCCAGUUUUUGCCAUGGGGGACUUGGGCAGCCGUCAGGGGUGUGUGAGGCUAUGAUCUCCUGGGGACAAAGCCAGCUGAGCUCUCCUGUGUCUGACUUGAUGGCUACCUCCCCGCCAGAAGGAGCUUGUCUGGGAAGAACUAUAAUUGCUAGGCUCUCAGUGAGCCUUGUGUUUGGCAGAUUCCAACCGCCUGUGGAUGCCUGUCCCCUUCCCUGUCCCAAGUACAGCGAAUUUGCUCAUUGACAAAGGCCAAGAAGUCAAUGAAUGGAUACUUUGGAAGUUCUGUAGUAAACGGAUAAUAAGGGAGAGGUCGCUCAAUGGUUAGGAGCACUUGCUGAGGGGCCAGGUGUGUGCCAGCAUCCGAAUUAAGAGUGGUUCACACUCCCCUGUUAACUGCCGUUCUGGUACAUCCCGUGUCCACUGUCCUCCGCCCCAUAUGGGCGCUCAUGCGGUGCAUAUACAUGGAUUCAAGCAAACACACUGACACAUAAAAUAAAAAUGUUUACCUGACUGAAGGAAGCUGGACACCCUGAAGCUCACCUACAGUUCCAGCAUCAGGGAGAUUGAGACAGGAGCAUUGUCACGAGUUUCAGGCAAGCACUGGCUAUGUAGUACAUUCUAGGUUUGUCGGGGUUUCACAGACAAACCCUGAUUCAAAUGCAGAAACGAAUAGCAAUCAAGUACAGUUGCUCUGUCCUGAUGAAAACGUUCACACCCGUGAUCAUGGUCUGUGGUGGCCGAGGUACUCUUCCCUGGUCACGAGAAAGUUUGUCAGCAGCAGGCUGCAGAUGGAUGAGAAAAUUGCUUUAGAGAAGGUUGCUUUGGGUGUGCCUAUGGUGUGUGUGUGUGUGUGUGUGUGUGUGUGUGUGUGUGUGUGUGUGUGUAGGUUACAUAGAGAAGCUGUUUGUGGCUGGUUAUCUUGGAGGGCCCUGUUUCCAUUCCAUCUGUUCUUUCAAGAAGAGAAAUGACUCUAGAAUCUUGGAAGAAAGAGCAGAGAAUGCCUUGGCCUCCCUUGAGCUGCUUCUGCUUAAAAACAAACAAACAAAAUAAAUAAACAAAGGGUGCGCAGCAGCCACAAGCCCUAGCAGGGAGGGUCCCUUCCGCCACACCCGCCCCUAGGACAGGAGAGACCAUUUGCUUGUCCAUCCCUCACAACCCAAAAGCAGAAGCCUUUUAGUUACAUCCUAAGCUAUCACCUUGGCCCCACCACUCCCAAUUCCUGUAUCUGGGGGCUGAAAAAUUUGAAACCCAGGACAACCGUGGUGUAGACCUAGCCUGCCUUUUGCACCCUUAAUUCAAGGCUUACAGACACCUUCCCUUUCCUCUGCCCUGCUGGCUGCCUGCCCAGCUUGCCCUGUCUCUUUCUGGGAUCCCAGGAGUUCACUGCUCACUGAUGGGUUGCAACUGCUGAGGAGAUUCAUGAAGUAUGGCCUAAUUACUCACAUUAAAAGAUGCCGACUGGAAAUAGAAAAAGGCCGAGGUUAUUCAUAGAGGCUGUUCACCAACCCAGAGGCAGGGGAGAAAGGCUGGCUUGGUUGCCUGAUGCGAAUAGCAGGGACCACUGGUUAAACAGGUGCUGGCUCAGGUGAGAGCUGCAGCUACAGAAGGAGGGAGGUAUCAGACAGGAGCAGGCAAUGGGCAGAUGGGACCUGAGCCCCUGCGUGAGUGUGUGCUCCUCCUAGAUGGACUUCAGAACGGAGAACUGUUGCUCUCACUCAAUCAACUUUCCAGAGAUGCUUCUCCAUAUUUUGUAAUUUGCCUCUUUGGGUCUUUAUAAUUGGUAAAAUUCUUUUCACAGCCCAAAUAAAGACAUUUGUCAGAUUCAUUAAAUUGACUCAUCAAUUUAUGACAGGCUCAGCUUCAGUAAGCUGCAGGAUUUGGGCUGAUCUAGGGCUAAGCAUGCAACAUAUCACUUCAGACUGUGGUGUCCAGCCCAGGCAGAAUUAGCACCCUGGCUGAGUUCACUGGCACUAAGUAUUUAUAAAGUUUUCAUUAGUAAGCUGAAUGUUCCUUAGUAGUUUGUAAAUCUCCAGUUGUACAGGGAGGAGUCAAAUAUUUCACAGAAACAUUUGCAAAUGUUAAAUUGGGUUUUUGGUCCUUGGCCAGUCUGUGAAGUGUCUAGCAAUCAUCUUGGCUGUGUUGUGCAAAGUUUUCUGUUUUCCCCUUGUUUCUGUGAAGUUUUAAUUAGCUAAAGCGGUUCUCGGCAACUUCUACCCCAGAAGAAACCAAGAUAGAGAAUGCUUUGCAGUGAUGUAUUAUCCACAGGGGCUCAGGAACCGGCUGUCAUAUUUCUGGAUUAAAGCUGAAGAUGAACAGGCUGGGAUGGGCUGUGGUUUUCUUUUGAUCGACUCUUCUCUGCAAGCAAAUACCAAGACCAUGUCGGAGACCUUUCUGCGUGGUAGUAGAAUGACUGCCAAGGGUCAGAAGAAUGAAAAGGAACCAUGGUCACAUAGGAGGUCAGAGGAUGAACUCCUGAGCCAUAGCUGAAGAUUCACACAGAUAUGGGACUCAAGUGCAGUGCUGCACAAGGUACAUUCCAGUUCUUUGCUGGUGUCCAUUGCAGAGCAAGGAGACUUAUUCUUCUCUAGAACAUGCCAUGUGGGACGGUUGGUGUGAAUGGUCAAGAUCAUGGCUUCUUCACUGACCUGGCUCCUAUGCUGCUCUCUACGGGAUUUCAAGUCUCUCCUUCCCGAGCAGGCCUUCCCUUCAGUUGGCAAAUGGAGUCAACUCCUCUGUUUAUUAAAAAAUAUUUCUGGUCUGCAUCCCUCAUUAAUUUCCUUUAUUUGAAAGGAUUUUUUAAAAAAAACUUUGUCUGUGUGUGUGUGUGUAUGUGUGUGUGUGUGUGUGUGUGUUUUGUGUGUCUGCCUGUCUGUCUGUCUGUCUGUCUGUCUGUCUGUCUACCCAUGUGCAGGCCAGAAGAGGGCACCAGAAUCCCCUGGAGCAGUUAUAGGCAGUUGUAGACUGCCUGACUUGGGUGCUGGGAACUGAACUUGCAACAGCUCUGGGCUCUCCUUACAGCCAAGUCUUCUCCUCAGAUUCUUGGCUUCAUAGUUACCUUCUCUACAUCCUCAGCAGUAAUUUACAACUAGACCAGCAAGCCCUGGCCUCAUGUCAAAGGUCACUGUGGCAGUCUGGUGUGUCAGUUAACAGCAGGAGCAGAUUCAGUUCGUAUCCUUUUUAUAUUUACUUCUUUGUUAUUUUACAUGGGGAUUUUAUCAUGUAGCCCAGGCUAGCCUUGAACUCAUGAUCCUCCUGUCUCAGCCUCUCAAGUGCAGAGAUUAAAGACAUGAAUCAACAAGCAUGUUUGACUUCUCCAUGGCAUUCAAGGGAAUUUAUAUUUAGGGUAUUUCUUGAAGAUAAAUAACAAUAUUUAAGGUAAACGAUAGCUUCCCUUUUCUCAUGCCUUUCUAUUAUCACAGGUAGUAAUUUAAAUGGUUAAAUCCUAAACUCUUAACAACACUUACUAGAUUGCCUGCUCCAAGCAGUUUUGGGGCUUACAGAGAAUUUGAGUAGAAGGCAUUGAGGAUUCCCUUUGCUCCCUGUAGUUUGUUCCAGAUGAUACAGCUACAUUGUUAGUUUAUACCUGUUUACAAGUGCAUAAGGUCACACACCACUGUUACUAUACUGUAAAUAACCCUGGACUUCAUUCUCCUUCUCUGAGUCUUACUUUCUUCCCAUUGCCAUUUGUUUUAUAUUUCUCCCUUCUGUUGGCUAUUUUGUCAACCUCUUCCAUGGUGCUGUCUCUCUGGAAUCCUCUGGAUGUUCUCAUCUCCCAGGACUUCAGCUACAUUUCAUGACUGUGCACACACUUCUAUUUCAUUAUGGAUACUUCCUCUGGCUCACUUAAACAACAACAACAACAGCAGCAGCAACAACAACAACAACAAAUUUUGCAUGUACGAUUGUUUUGCUCGUCUAUCUGUGCACCACGUGUGUGUCUAGUGCCCUCAGAGGUCAGAAGAGGCUGUUGGAUUCCCUGGUAUUGAUGGUAUGGAUCAUUGUGAGCCUCUAUGUGGGUGCUGGCAACAGAACCUGGGUCUUCUGCAAGAAUAACAAGUGUUGUUAAGUUCUGAGCUGUCUCUCCAGCCCCUGCCCUUGCUCCUUAAACAUCUUUUACACAGAGACCUGGGCAACUCAAGAGAGGAAAGGAACAUUCAAUUAUGAGAAAUACUUUUCCUAUCCUGGCAUUGUUCUUCAGACAAACACCAGUGAAACGGCAAGGUUUGCUGACCAACUCUUCUGUAGAUGGAAAUUUCUCAACCCCAGGGUUGUGCACAGUAAGAUGUCUAGCUGCACGGUGAUCUUUUGCCCAUUAAUGACAUUAGACUUUUGCCCUUCCAUCCCUAGUCCCAGGUUAUAACAACAAAAAUGUCUCUAGAUACUGCCAAGUGUCACAUCAGGCAUUAAAUCAUGCCAUUGAGAAAUAUUGUGCUAUUACGAGGGGCUUUCUCGUCCCCAGGAGAACUGAGGAACUAUUGUGCGUCAUUGAAGAGUCUUAAAUCAUCCCUUACAUGGUGUCUAACGUACCCUCUCUUCUUUCCUACAGGGACACUUUGCACUUGAUUCUCACUGUCUUCCUAUGGUGCUGAGGUGCCUGCAUUCAUACCCAUAGCUCUCUUCCUGUCCCAAGGUUGGGUACCAUGUGUCAGUUUUAUAAUCCUAGUAAUGUUCCAAGGUGUAGCCAUUAUUAUGUCCAAUGUACUGUUGAGUAGAUGAACUACAGUGGCCUCUGCUAGUCCUCAUCCUCUGUGAUAAUUCUCACCAUAAUGUCCAUCUCUUUCAGACAGUUAGUAAGUCACUGCCCUUCCCCGCCUCUACACAGACCUGUCUAAACUCCACGAAGGCCAAUGCUGUGUUUGCUUUUUGCCUUUUGUAAUGCAUACCGAGUUUAGGAUGUCUGGUAUUUGUAGAGUGAAUGAGUGAUCCUGGGAGUGAAUGGCCGCCUGGAGCCAAGGGGGUGCUUGACAACAUCUGUAGCUGCAGCUGUUUUUGAAACAUCUUCAUAGGCCAUUCCACCAUUCAAGAAUAACAAAGCUGCUAAGAUGGGAUUCUUCUUAUGAUGUAGAUAAGACAACCAAGGAAGACCAGCAAGGCUGGACAUCUUAAGGACUUCUAUACCAUUAUGACAGAAUUUGGGAUUUGAUUUAUUAACUUUUCAUACAUCCAGAUUCUGAAGGGUUAGCAAAUGGUUUAGUGAUAUAAGAAACAAGAGAACAUGUGGAUAUUUUGUAGUUUUACGUGGGGUGUCAGAACUAUGAGAAAAGAUUACUAACACUGACAAGAAAUGGUUUCUGUUCUCCUUACCAGCUUUGCACGAGCCCACACAAUCAUUUGUACAGCUAGGGAAGUCAGUGCAGAAAACCUCAUAGGCUAGCUAGUGCUUACACUCACAGGAGAAAAUCACUGAUACUCUGAAGGACACUUUGUACUAAUUUACAACAAGGGCAUUGGCGGUUGAAUGCCAUCUGGAAAGCCCAGGUCAGGGGGCCAUAAGUAUUGUAGUUCAUGCUGUCCUUUGAAGGAUAGAGACUAGUAUAGACACCGCCCCAUCUUAGAGUAGGAACACAAGCAAAGGAAGAGGUAGAAGAAUUUACACAUGUGAGAAACCCACAUGGUGGGUAAAUUAUCAAUAUAUUCCUGAAAUUCCUAAGACAAGAGGAUGCUGAAGAAUGAAAGAUGCUUUAUUAGGACAGUGGGCUUCUCAGCUGGAGGCCAGUGGUCAAUCUUGGGUAUCAUUCUCACAAGUGUUGUCUACCUCUUUUGAGACAGGGUCUCUCACUGGCCUGAAGUUUACAGGUUAGGCUAGGCUAGCUGGCCAGUGAGUCUCAGGAAUCUUACCAUUGCUAACUUCCCAGCACUGGGGCUGUGGGUGUGUGCACCAUAGUACCAAACUUGACACUUUUACAUAGGUCCCAGCUUAGGCUCUCACACUUUCAGGGUAAGAACUUCACUAACAGAGCCAGCCCCUCUGCCCCACCUCAGAUUUAAACUCUGAAACAAUGAGAGUUUGAAUCUUAUAAAUCUGCAUAUGUAGAAGAGGAGGAGAUGCCAAGUCUUUGUGAUCUCUGCUAUAAGAUGCGCUGGAUAGGAGGACAGAGCUUUCACAGGUGAAUGGUUUUACUGUGACCUUUCCAGCUAAGGAAGGCACUCUCUAGUUAUACAAGGGAUGAAUGAGAACUCCCUUCUACCAUGAAAUUCCAACAAGAGAAAAGUCUUCUCAGGCCAAGAAACUAGCUUUUAUCUCAAGUGGCAUUUUCUGAAUUACAGGAAAAUUUUACUCUUGGAUGAUACCCAGGGGUGGGUGAUACCCAGGGCUGAGUAACAUCCGGGGAUGAGUAAUAUCCACGGGUGCAUGGUACCCUAGAAUGGGUGGUAUCCAGGGAUGAGUAAUACUCAGGAAUCGGUAGUCCCAGAGUGGGUGAUAUCCAGGGAUGGGUGAUACCCCAGGCUGAAUGAGACCACAGACAUGUAAUCUUUAUUUUACAUCUGAAAUAAAAACUCUGGAUGUGGGGAGAGAUGCACUGAGUGUUCUUAAUACAGAAAUGGAGAUAGACUCUUGAUAAUAUUUGACCUGCCUCUGAUGCCAGGUAAGGAAAUGCAGAUAAAUGUGAGUGUCAGGAGGGGGUUCCAAUAAUAGCAUAAAGGCCUGAAUUAUGAGCCUCUGACUCAGUGAUUAUUGAUCAAAUUCUUAUUAAGAUGUUCACCAAAGGAUAGAAAACCUUAUUGCCUAAAAUUACAGUAUUGAGAGGUGAUGGCAGCUGCUGGGAGCAGAAACAGCUCGGCUCUGUGGGAAUGGGUGCGUUACUUGGAGUCAUUGCUAAUUUACAAGGCCCCAAGACUUCAGUGUAUAACAGAAACUCUUGUAAAUUCCUCUUUAGCCAGAAGAAUGAUUCUUUUUUGUGUGUGUGUGUCAUCUCUGACCUUCAUAUUGAUAUGCUUGACCAUCCACAGGCAAAAGCAGAGAUGAUAUCCACAGACUGGGGAACCAGAAUGGAUUUGGCUGUUUUAGUUUAGAAGUUCCUCUGCAAAAGAAUCAAUGCUGCAGACCUGUAACAUGGUUGUUCAUUCACAAAGCAUGUGCAUGGCCUGCAUGUGCAUGGUCUGUAUGUGUAUGGUUUGUAUGUAUGUGCAGGAGUGAUUCUCUGAGAAUAAUCUGCAGAAGCAAAACAGAUUUGCUCCGGCAGAAGGAGCCCAGUGGUGGGAAGCAGCCGUCUGAGCAGAGGCUGAUCCACUUUUCUGGGCAUCACCUGCUGGCUGCCUACUCCGAGUUGGAGCCCCUCCACUGGGAUGUGAUUUUAUGGGGUUUAAUGUAAGGUGCUGUAUUUCAUGAGAUGAAAUCAUAACACAGUGGGCUGCAAGAGCCUUGAGAGAUGGUUUCUUCAGAGUGUUGGCAAGCAUCGUCCUCCAGAGAAUGGCUUUGUCUUAAGCAGAAAUAUAGACCUUUCAUAGAACUGGAAGGAUAGCAAAUUCAUAAUCCUUUCUAGACAGCUAGGGCUUGGAUGGUUGGGCUGACAUGGAAUGCACACGGCUGGUUUGACCUCUCCAGCUGAACUGUUUUUUUAAAUCUGUAACUCUGACUGUAUCCUGAGACCCCAGGGUAUGUGGGACGUGCAUUUUGGGGUGGCCUCACUUCUAAGUCAUCAUUGAAGCUUGUUUCUAUGUAUAGAUGGUUCUAUUCUCAACAAAUUUUGACAACUCGUAUGAACAUUUGACCCAAACUGAGAACACUAUCAAGCACCAUCUCAGGUUUCCUUCAUCUCCUCUUCUUGUUAGUGUUUUCAGGGAAAGGUUUCUGUCCGUCUCUGCUGUAGGGAAGGGAAACUGAGCCAUUUCCUUGUCUUAGGGUGGACCUUUCCCCCUUCAUUCUAAAACACACACACACACACACACACACACACACACACACACCACACAUACACACACACAGAGACACACACUCACCACAUACACACACCACACACACACAUACACACACACAGACACACACACACAUACACACAGACACACACACGCAGACACACACACACAGAGACACACACAUACUCACCACAUACACACACCACACACACACAUACACACACAGAGAGAGACACACAUGGACAUACACACACACAGACACACACAGACACACACAGACACACACAGAUACACAGACACACACACACACACACACACAUACACACUCCUGUCGUCAGGCUGAAUAUCUCCUCCCUUUCACCCCCAGUUUCCCUGCAACGCAGCAUCUUGGGCCAGGUUUCUUGUGAAUGGAAAGGAAACAAUACCCCAUGAGGGAAGAAUCUGGUGUCUCUUCUGAUUUUUGUUGUGUGUGAAAGGGGUUUGUGUCCUCUGCAGCCCAGAGCCUUUUGAAACAUGGUUCAGGCAAGACUGUUUGGAAACACAAUUAAUUCAGCAUGGGAAUCUAGCAAAGCCAACUGGAGCCCCAUGGCACAUAGCUCAUUUUCCAGGGAGGUUUCCGCCUUCCUUCUUUCAGAAGUAAUAGUUGAAAUCUUACAACUUUAAGGAGGUCUGCACCGGCUGUCAUAUCCUCUCUAACGAUAAAAAGAUGUGCACAUCAGGACGGAUGCGUUUGUAUCAAAUUGUGUGCUUGAUGUAUCUCAUGCGGAGCCCCCAGGGGAUUCUCAUGGCAGCCCCGAUGAAAUUCUUGUUACCGAGGAAGGGAGGCAGGGGUCAUGAGUUAUUACCAUCAAGAAACAAAUGUUACAUUCCCUAUCAUCCUCAAACGCUUUCUCAGAAAUACAAGUCAGAACAGGCUUUCCUGUGAGACGAUCUGGCCUGCAGGAUGCUGGGAGUCAAGCCCAAGGUGUACAGUAUGCCCUGUGGCCAACAAUGGGGAGAAAACUCAUUUGUACCUGUAAGUAGUCACCCAUCUUUAACCUUCCUUCCUCAAAGAGGAUAGUAGAAAAAGGGUGACUUGGGGUUGGGGCGAUGGUUCAGUCAGCAGAGUCCUCACUGUGCCAGUGCUGUGUUUGGGUUUCCAGAAUGCUCGUCAGAAGCCAGACAUGUGACUUCAGGCAGGUUAAGGGUUAGUAGCUGUCAGAUAAGUUGAUACCAGAAGUUCAUUGGCUAGCCAGCCUGGCCCAGUCAGUGAUCCCCAGGUUUGCUGAGGGAUCCUGUAUCAUACAGUAAAGGCAGAGCACGGUUAAAGAAAGACAAUCUGCUGUGGGCCUUGGGUCUCCACACAUGCGCACACAAAUACCGCAGCACACGCAUGCCCACAAACAGCAGCGGUGGAGACUUGCAGACUUUUUGAGGGCUCAGACCAGGAAGGGGACGUUUUGAUAAGUUGAACAGCCAGGACUAGGAUCAGGGAAAUGUAAGAAUCUGGUAGGUUGAGAUCGAGCGUUUAAUAGCUGGCAGCUUGCUGAGUGUAUCGGGUGAUUAGUAUGUCACGAGGGAGAGUUCUGAGUCCCUGCUUGCUGAGAAGGGUACUUGGUUCCCUUGCAUUUCUCAAACCCCUUCCAUUUGAGUGUUCCUCCCAAGAGUGGUUCUCUUCAAAUUGUUUUAAUGAAAAACCUUAGUUUUGUUCCUAUUUUCUUUCAUGGGGGGAGAAUUUUAUGAACCCUUGAAUUGCCUCAGUUGCUUGUUGUGUGGGCGUGUGCAUGAGUGUGUGUAUAUGUGUGUGCAUGUAGGUGAGUCUCUCUCUCUCUCUCUCUCUCUCUCUCUCUCUCUCUCUCUCUCUCUCUCUCUCUCUCUGUGUGUGUGUGUGUGUGUGUAUGUGAGUUCGUGUUUCUGCCCAGAGGACAACUCUCAGGAGUCACUUCUCUCUUUCCAUCAAGUGAGUCCCAAGCUCAAGGAUGGAACUCGGGUCACCCGGCUUGGGAUCCCAGGAAUGCCGUCACACUCUGCUGCUUAUUUAGAUUUUCAUCCUGCUCCUGCCAAUGACCUACCGUGGAUCCAGGGGAGAACCAAAGAUGCCUACCUCAGUUCUAAGGAAUUCAAUGGAUAUCUGCAAAUGAAAACCUUAGACCAGUUACCCUGGCAGUAACGGAAAGUCCACGAUCUGAAGUUGAUGCGUGCUUCUGUAAAUGACAGCUCUGUAGAAGUGGGGCAAUGCCUUUUGCCUGUUCACAAUUCGCAAAUUACUUCUUUUGUUUUCAGUUUAAAGUAAAAAAAAUACAUCAAGGCAAAGACAGAAGCAAACAGUACAAAGUACUAGGAUUUAGGACAGAGAGCAUUUAGAACAAAGAGGACUUAGAACAAAAACCCAUGAGCCGACCCGUGUGCUGAAACAUUGGCCUUCGGAAGCUCUGGGAAUAUUUGUUUCCUAACCUUCUAGUAGAUUCUUGUGCCCGUUUUCUCUGCUCUCUCCUAUGGGAAAAACUGCUUUCUCCUAAUGUUUCUGCAUCCCUUUCCUUGCCGUUGAGGUCUUUUUCCUUCUCAGAAGGCAACUGUUACUAUCAGGGUAACAGAUCCAAGCUUUCUAUCUACAGAGGUCCAGUGUUUUCCGUGUCCUAUCGGGGGGGGGUAAGUUCCUCUGCUCACCCCGUUUCUCUUCCUUGGUGUCCUUUGCGUGGUUUCCCACCAUCCUCUCAGCUUUAUCCUGCACCGCUGGGGCUGCAGGUCUCUGUGGUCUGUCCUUUUCGUCCAAUUUCCUCUUUCUUUUCUUGAUUUAAAAUGUGUCUGAGCUCAUGUCUGUGUGGAUGUCUUUACUUUCCGUGAGACAUUAGUGGGUCAGUCAUUGUAAGUGAACCUGUGCUGGGCACCAAGGAUGUGUCUGCCUCACACAAAGUCCAACCUGAUAAUUUUGCUUUCGGGGGUCAUUUUGGUAGUGUUGGGUCUUUCAACUCUGGGCAGCAGGAAGGAAGAAAGAGAGGGAGGGGUGGGGGGAGAGGAGGAGGGCAGAGAGAGCUUUAUAGGGAGAUUAUGAAAUAUUGAGUCAUGUCUACCUGAAUGUUUCAAGAGGGACCAAGAAAUUAAGCUCAACUGGCACCUAGGACAGGGAGAGGAGCUGAGGGGCCAUUCCAGAACAGUCUCUUUUCCAUUUCCUCAGCAGGAAGGCAGGUUUGUGCAUGGCUCACUUACUCAUCACUCUUUAAAUUGGCUUUUGAUUUAAAUAUAACUUUUAAUUGUUUUGGAGAUAGGGUUUCUAGCCCAGGCUGUCUUUGAACUACCAUUAGCCCAAGACCUUGAACUUUUGACCCUUUUAGGCUUCCACCAUGCUCUGAGGUGCCGAGGAUUGAGUGCAGAGUCUUGCUCAUGCCCAGUACGUACUCUAUGAACUGAGCUGCAAACCCUGCUUCUAAAGUGACUUUUAAUUGUCCAAGUGGGAACCAGAACGACUUCAAAAAAUAGCUGAGGAUAAACCUGACAAGUGGAUUUUUGCUUACCAAUGCUUUCAGUAUAGGUUUAAAAAAACCACUCUAAAUAUAAUGCUUAUCCAACAUGGAAAAUGUCAGACUCCAAAAUUACAAUUACCCUGAUUUACCAGAGCAAAGGAAGUCAACAGUUUAGUUCUUCUGCUAUUUCUCCAGCAUCCCCAUGUGCUUGUUUAAUUUGAGUUUUGUUUUGUUUUGUUAGUUUCUGCCCACUAGUUUAUUCCAAAGCUAUAUUGUAUUUCACAGGAAGUGUUCUCUCCUCUCUAGGCCUUCAAAUUGCCCUGAUGUUUGGCUCUUAGAAGCACUGCUCUUGUGAGGUUUUCAAAGUCAUAGUUUUAAUCUUCUGUACCUAGAAUUUUACUGUGAGGGUCAUUAUUGAAGAACAUACAUUUUCAAAGCUGUUAGUUUACCAGACUGCUUUUCAGAAGUCUCUGCCAUUCUGUCAUUUCACAUCAGAUGUUGUCCCCCCACCCCUUAAUUUUGCACUUGAAGAUGCUUUUUUUCCCCCUGAAACAUUACUAUACUGAGCAGAAUAGAUGUUCUUCCUUUGGUACUGUGCCUUUGUGUAAAGUUUGUAUUUCCCUAUUAGGAGUCACCAACAUGGACUGUCCAUAGGUAGUGCUUAGUAACCCUGCAGCUAAUCGGUAUUACCAUGACUGCACAUGUGUAUUGCUUUGGGCUUCUCAAGACUCACUGGACACUCAAUGGUUAAUUUUGACAGUCAACUGUACACAGUGUGUGAGCAUGUAAAAAGUGGGUCUUGACAAGGAGCUGUUGUCUUGAGGGCAGGCCUGUAAGGGAUGUCCCUAACUGGGUUAAUUGAGGUGAAUAUGGGUGACAGCACUUCAUGGACUGAGUCAUGGACUGAAUGAAGAGGAGAGAAAGUGCUGAGCACAUGCAAGCAUGCAUGCAUUAAUUCACUGUGGUCUGCUAGAGCCUCUGGAUACCAUGUGACUCACACCUUGACUCCCCACAAUGAUGGACUGUAAUCUAGGAUUGUGAGCCAUUAGCCUCCCCUUCAAAUUGCUUUCUUCAAGGAAUUUUGCCACUUUGAAGAGGAAAGGAAAUUGGAGGGGAAUAGCUGAGAAGUUGAGGGGCCAACAGAGUGACUCUUGUAAGAUUUUCAGAAGUAAAAUGGCUGGGUUGGAUGUUUGAAGGAUGUGAUGGACCAGAUCUCCAGACUUAGGAAGCAAUGUCUUAGGUCACAUGGUGGUGACCUAUCACAGAAGGGCUGCAGCUGUCUGCCAAGGUUAGCGACAGAUAAAGGCAAACAGGCUUCAUUGUUAAAUAUCACUUGAGACUGAUGGCUGGUGAGACCCUGCUAGUAUCUCCCACUUCCCAUCUUAACCUGUUUGUGACCCAUUGACAUUUUCCCAGAAUACAGCUCUACAGAAGAGAGCAAAGACGAAUGCCUCAGACUAGGAGAAACACCGCUGACUAGAACAAAACACCAAGGAGAGGCCAGCCCAGCAAAGAAUGGAGGGAAUUUAAAAGACCCAGUGAGCGUAUUGGAUGGGCUCAGAUGCUUUCUGGACAAUGAUUUGGAGGUCAGCAGGAAACAGAGUACAAAGGGCAGGUUAUAACCAAGGCUCUUAGCCUUGGGGUGACAAGGUGCUGAGAGAACCAGUGAUUCCUUAGAUAGUCAGGAGGAAGGAUGAUGGCAACUGGGCAGGCACUAGGAUUGCUCCUGAGGGCAACAAUGUUUCAGCAAUGUCUGUGCCAGCCUCUAUUUUAGAGGAGAAAGCUGCAGGGAUGCAUCUACUGUGAAACUGUCAGGCACUGCUGCUCCCAAGUCCCUGUGUCAAAACUUGCCAACUCUGCCAAAAAAAAAAAAAAAAAGAUCCAGAGUAAAAGAUACAGUUGAUGUACUGUGUCUGCCUUCUGGGUUGACGCUUAUGUAAAAUAUCGGUCAAAGAUAGAAAAAGAGCCAAAAAUAUGACAGUAGGGAUUAAAUGUCAAGCCAGAUGUAUCUUGCGUGACCAUUUCUGGAUGCUGCAGACCAGCAUGCUAUCUUUGGGUUGGAAGCAUGUUCAUCUAUUUGGUUUUUUUUUUUUUUUUUUUUUUUAACUUGAGAGAUUUGAGAACGCCAUUAAAAACCGAUAGUUCAAGCUGAGGUAGAGCUCAGGGACAGAACAUAGGCUUAGUCUGAGAGAGGUCCCAGGUGUCCAAUUACACACACACACACACACACACACACACACACACACACACACACUCAACUACCAGAUUUUAUAGUUCUUUUUCCCCCUAAAUUUUAAUGUGGGAGAACAAAGAUUAAUUUUCUGAUUUUCAAUUUCUGGAAAUCUCUAGAGCAAUCAAAACAAUUACUAUUUAGAAUAAAAGUUGCAAACCAAAGUAUGAUUUUUCAAAUGAGGGGAUAAUUACUAUGAAGCACUGUCAUGAUGAAAGUCUUUUUGAUUCUUUUGAAUCUCUGGUAGUUCUUGAAAAUUUCAUUUUAUUCUUACUUUGUGUGUGUGUGUGUGUGUGUGUGUGUGUGUGUGUGUGUGUGUGUGUGUGUGUGUGCGGUUGCCUAUGGAAGCUAGAUGAAGGUAUUUCAUGGAGCUGGUAUUAGGGGCAGUCGUGAGCCUUCUGUCCUGUGUAUCAGACGUGGGAACUGAACUCAUAUAUAUUGCAAGAGUGGUUAAAAACUCUAAGACAUCUUUGCAGCGCCCCCAGCUUUUGGUAAAUCUUGGUAAGUUCCUUCAUGUGCAUUGAAUUAUGACUACUGUAUUCUGAAAGUUUCUUCAUGGGAAGUCCAUACUCAACUGCAUAAUAUAAAUUAGAAAUAGUUAGGAAAACCUACUUUGAGGCAAUUCUUGACCACUCCAAUAUUUUGUAUUUAGUCAAACUCACAAGUCAACAUGGGACCCCAUUGUUCUGACUUCUGUCCGUUCCAGGGCCAAGAACAAAGCAACAAGUACUUCCUGCUUUCCAGAGAAGGGGUACAGAGACUAGACUCACAGAGAGCACAGCAAGAUGGGUUGUAUCACUGUCAACCCCUCCACCCACUUUCAGCCUGGCCAAGACAGAAUUAGUCCUUUGAAAGCUGUACCAGAAGGACCCACAAUGUAGAGGACAAACAGUUAAAGAUGGUGGUUGUGUCAUCUCACGGGGCGGUACUUGUGGGUAAAUACACACAUUCACGUGUUUACGCACAUACACAAAUGCACAUGUGCACCCGUGGGAGACAAAUGCGUGCAGAACUUGAGGAGAUUGUUCAUACACGAGGUAUCAAGAAAGCCAGCCUCCGUCUCAUUUUCCACCUGACUAUUUCUUGAGUUUUAGAAAUUUAUCAACCUAUUUGUGCCAGUUUUCUGUCACCAUAAGAAAGAUAUGGCCAACUCAUAAAGAAGGGGAACUUUCAAUUUAAGACCACCGGGCCCAUGGCAAGGUUGAAUAUCACUGCAGGAGGACAUGAGGCUGAAAACUGUGUACUUUCUGAACAGAAAAUUUAAAACUAAAUGAGGACAGGUUUGGGUCCCACAAUCUCCUCUGAGGGUACCCCUAGCACCUCCUACAAGGCCCCAUGAGUGAAAAGUUCUGUUCUUUUCAGCAUAGCUAAUUAAAAUACUUGG